CUAGAACAUCUCGUGGGAGGCAGUCUC
rnacentral:piRNA from 1 species